rnacentral:rRNA from 1 species
UACGCAGGGGGCGAGCGUUGUUCGGAAUUACUGGGCGUAAAGGGCGCGUAGGCGGCGACCCAAGUCAGAUGUGAAAGUCCUGGGCUUAACCUGGGGACUGCAUUUGAUACUGGGUUGCUUGAAUUCGGGAGAGGAUAGCGGAAUUCCCAGUGUAGAGGUGAAAUUCGUAGAUAUUGGGAAGAACACCGGUGGCGAAGGCGGCUAUCUGGACCGACAUUGACGCUGAGGCGCGAAAGCGUGGGGAGCAAACAGG